rnacentral:rRNA from 1 species
GACGAACGCUGGCGGCGUGCUUAACACAUGCAAGUCGAACGGAAAGGCCCUGCUUUUGUGGGGUUCUCGAGUGGCGAACGGGUGAGUAACACGUGAGUAACCUGCCCUUGACUUUGGGAUAACUUCAGGAAACUGGGGCUAAUACCGGAUAGGAGCUCCUGCUGCAUGGUGGGGGUUGGAAAGUUUCGGCGGUUGGGGAUGGACUCGCGGCUUAUCAGCUUGUUGGUGGGGUAGUGGCUUACCAAGGCUUUGACGGGUAGCCGGCCUGAGAGGGUGACCGGCCACAUUGGGACUGAGAUACGGACCAGAAUCGUACGGGAGGCAGCAGUGGGGAAUAUUGCACAAUGGGCGGAAGCCUGAUGCAGAAACGCCGCGUGCGGGAUGACGGCCUUCGGGUUGUAAACCGCUUUCGCCUGUGACGAAGCGUGAGUGACGGUAAUGGGUAAAGAAGCACCGGCUAACUACGUG